GCUUAAAUAAUUUAACAAAAAUAUUGGUUUUGUAAACCAAAAAUAAGGACACCCUUUUUAGGCU
rnacentral:tRNA from 1 species